rnacentral:rRNA from 1 species
UACGUAGGUGGCAAGCGUUGUCCGGAUUUACUGGGCGUAAAGGGCGCGUAGGCGGCUUUGCAAGUGACGGGUGAAAUCCCUCGGCUUAACCGAGGAACUGCCUGUCAAACUGCAUGGCUUGAGACCGGGAGAGGUGAGUGGAAUUCCCAGUGUAGCGGUGAAAUGCGUAGAUAUCGUAAGGAAGACCAGUGGCGAAGGCGGGUCUCUGGACAGUUCCUGACGCUGAGGCACGAAGGUCAGGGGAGCAAACGGG